rnacentral:rRNA from 1 species
GACGAACGCUGGCGGCGUGCUUAACACAUGCAAGUCGAACGGGCCUUGUCCCCUUUUUUUUUGGGGGUGGGGUUAGUGGCGAACGGGUGAGUAACACGUGAGUAACCUGCCCCUCACUUCUGGAUAACCGCUUGAAAGGGUGGCUAAUACGGGGUGUUCUGGCCUGCUCGCAUGGGUGGGUUUGGAAAGAUUCGACCGGUUUUGGUUGUUUUGGUGGGGGAUGGGCUCGCGGCCUAUCAGCUUGUUGGUGGGGUGAUGGCCUGCCAAGGCUUUGACGGGUGGCCGGCCUGAGAGAGUGGGCGGUCACACUGGGACUGAGACACGGCCCAGACUCCUACGGGAGGCAGCAGUGGUGAAUAUUGCACAAUUGGCGCAAGCCUGAUGCAGCGACGCCGCGUGAGGGAUGGAUGCCGUCGGGUUGGGAACCUCUUUCGCCAGUGAAGAAGGUCCUGCUCUUUGUGGUGGGGUUGACGGGAGCGGGGUUAAUGAAGCGCCGGCUAACUACGUG